GAUGAACGCUGGCGGCGUGCCUAAUACAUGCAAGUCGAGCGAACAGACGAGGAGCUUGCUCCUCUGACGUUAGCGGCGGACGGGUGAGUAACACGUGGAUAACCCACCUAUAAGACUGGGAUAACUUCGGGAAACCGGAGCUAAUACCGGAUAAUAUAUUGAACCGCAUGGUUCAAUAGUGAAAGACGGUUUUGCUGUCACUUAUAGAUGGAUCCGCGCCGCAUUAGCUAGUUGGUAAGGUAACGGCUUACCAAGGCAACGAUGCGUAGCCGACCUGAGAGGGUGAUCGGCCACACUGGAACUGAGACACGGUCCAGACUCCUACGGGAGGCAGCAGUAGGGAAUCUUCCGCAAUGGGCGAAAGCCUGACGGAGCAACGCCGCGUGAGUGAUGAAGGUCUUCGGAUCGUAAAACUCUGUUAUUAGGGAAGAACAAAUGUGUAAGUAACUAUGUACGUCUUGACGGUACCUAAUCAGAAAGCCACGGCUAACUACGUG
rnacentral:rRNA from 1 species